rnacentral:rRNA from 1 species
GAUACAGGGUGACAGCCCCGUACACAAAAGCGCAUGUGCUGUGAGCUCGAUGAGUAGGGCGGGACACGUGGUAUCCUGUCUGAAUAUGGGGGGACCAUCCUCCAAGGCUAAAUACUCCUGACUGACCGAUAGUGAACCAGUACCGUGAGGGAAAGGCGAAAAGAACCCCGGCGAGGGGAGUGAAAAAGAACCUGAAACCGUGUACGUACAAGCAGUGGGAGCACCCUUCGGGGUGUGACUGCGUACCUUUUGUAUAAUGGGUCAGCGACUUAUAUUCUGUAGCAAGGUUAACCGAAUAGGGGAGCCGGAGGGAAACCGAGUCUUAACCGGGCGUUAAGUUGCAGGGUAUAGACCCGAAACCCGGUGAUCUAGCCAUGGGCAGGUUGAAGGUUGGGUAACACUAACUGGAGGACCGAACCGACUAAUGUUGAAAAAUUAGCGGAUGACCUGUGGCUGGGGGUGAAAGGCCAAUCAAACCGGGAGAUAGCUGGUUCUCCCCGAAAGCUAUUUAGGUAGCGCCUCGUGAAUUCAUCUCCGGGGGUAGAGCACUGUUUCGGCUAGGGGGCCAUCCCGGCUUACCAACCCGAUGCAAACUGCGAAUACCGGAGAAUGUUAUCACGGGAGACACACGGCGGGUGCUAACGUCCGUCGUGAAGAGGGAAACAACCCAGACCGCCAGCUAAGGUCCCAAAGUCAUGGUUAAGUGGGAAACGAUGUGGGAAGGCCCAGACAGCCAGGAUGUUGGCUUAGAAGCAGCCAUCAUUUAAAGAAAGCGUAAUAGCUCACUGGUCGAGUCGGCCUGCGCGGAAGAUGUAACGGGGCUAAACCAUGCACCGAAGCUGCGGCAGCGA